AUCGGCGUAGCGUAGUGGUUUCAACGCGUUGGUUUCCGGAGCCAAAGAUCGUGAGUUCGACUCUCACCGUCGAUG